UACGUAGGUCCCGAGCGUUGUCCGGAUUUAUUGGGCGUAAAGCGAGCGCAGGUGGUUUAUUAAGUUUGGUGUAAAAGGCAGUGGCUCAACCAUUGUAUGCAUUGGAAACUGGUAGACUUGAGUGCAGGAGAGGAGAGUGGAAUUCCAUGUGUAGCGGUGAAAUGCGUAGAUAUAUGGAGGAACACCGGUGGCGAAAGCGGCUCUCUGGCCUGUAACUGACACUGAGGCUCGAAAGCGUGGGGAUCAAACAGG
rnacentral:rRNA from 1 species